rnacentral:rRNA from 1 species
GACGAACGCUGGCGGCGUGCCUAAUACAUGCAAGUAGAACGCUGAAGGAGGAGCUUGCUCUUCCGGAUGAGUUGCGAACGGGUGAGUAACGCGUAGGUAACCUGCCUGGUAGCGGGGGAUAACUAUUGGAAACGAUAGCUAAUACCGCAUAACAGUAGAUGUUGCAUGACAUUUACUUAAAAGGUGCAAUUGCAUCACUACCAGAUGGACCUGCGUUGUAUUAGCUAGUUGGUGGGGUAACGGCUCACCAAGGCGACGAUACAUAGCCGACCUGAGAGGGUGAUCGGCCACACUGAGACUGAGACACGGCCCAGACUCCUACGGGAGGCAGCAGUAGGGAAUCUUCGGCAAUGGACGGAAGUCUGACCGAGCAACGCCGCGUGAGUGAAGAAGGUUUUCGGAUCGUAAAGCUCGGUUGUAAGAGAAGAACGAGUGUGAGAGUGGAAAGUUCACACUGUGACGGUAUCUUACCAGAAAGGGACGGCUAACUACGUG